rnacentral:rRNA from 1 species
UACGGAAGGCAGCAGUGGGGAAUAUUGCACAAUGGGCGAAAGCCUGAUGCAGCUAUGCCGUGUGUAUGAAGAAGGCCUUAGGGUUGUAAAGUACUUUCAUCGGGGAGGAAAAAACAAAACUAAUAAUUUUAUUUCUUGACGUUACCCGAAAAAGAAGCACCGGCUAACUCCGUGCCAGCAGCCGCGGUAAUACGGAGGGUGCUAGCGUUAAUCAGAAUUACUGGGCGUAAAGAGCACGUAGGUGGUUUUUUUAAGUCAGAUGUGAAAUCCCUGGGCUUAACCUAGGAACUGCAUUUUGAAACUGAAAUACUAGAGUAUCGUAGAGGGAGGUAGAAUUCUAGGUGUAGCGGUGAAAUGCGUAGAUAUCUGGAGGAAUACCUGUGGCGAAAGCGGCCUCCUAAACGAAUACUGACACUGAGGUGCGAAAGCGUGGGGAGCAAACGAGGGAUUAGAUACC